AAGAAACCAACAGGGAUUGCCCUAGUAACGGCGAGUGAAGCGGCAACAGCUCAAAUUUGAAAUCUGGCCCUCGCGGUCCGAGUUGUAAUUUGUAGAGGAUGCUUUGGGCGCGGCGCCUUCCAAGUUCCCUAGAACGGGACGCCUUAGAGGGUGAGAGCCCCGUACGGUUGGACGCCUAGCCUAUGUAUAGCUCCUUCGACGAGUCGAGUAGUUUGGGAAUGCUGCUCUAAAUGGGAGGUAAAUUUCUUCUAAAGCUAAAUACCGGCCAGAGACCGAUAGCGCACAAGUAGAGUGAUCGAAAGAUGAAAAGUACUUUGAAAAGAGGGUUAAAUAGCACGUGAAAUUGUUGAAAGGGAAGCGUUUGCGACCAGACCUUUUCCAGGCGGAUCAUCCGGCGUUCUCGCCGGUGCACUUCGCCUGGUUUAGGCCAGCAUCGGUUUUCCCAGGGGGAUAAAGGCGGCGGGAACGUAGCUCUCUCGGGAGUGUUAUAGCCCGCCGCGUAAUACCCUUGGGGGGACCGAGGACCGCGCUUCGGCAAGGAUGCUGGCGUAAUGGUCGUCAACGACCCGUCUUGAAACACGGACCAAGGAGUCGAACAUUUGUGCGAGUGUUUGGGUGUCAAACCCUCACGCGUAAUGAAAGUGAACGGAGGUGAGAGCCCCUCGCGGGUGCAUCAUCGACCGAUCCUGAUGUCUUCGGAUGGAUUUGAGUAAGAGCAUAACUGUUCGGACCCGAAAGAUGGUGAACUAUGCGUGGAUAGGGUGAAGCCAGAGGAAACUCUGGUGGAGGCUCGCAGCGGUUCUGACGUGCAAAUCGAUCGUCAAAUCUGCGCAUGGGGCGAAAGACUUAUCGAACCAUCUAGUAGCUGGUA
rnacentral:rRNA from 1 species